CGAUGAAUAUUUUCAGCAUGUUUACAAUUGACUUUGCAUUAAAGGAUGAGAUAUAUAAAGACCCUUGCUUCCAUCCGGCGCAACAAACACAUUACCCGCUGCUACCAUUGAUAACUGUAAACUAUCCAAACAAA